CCCUUAGAUGUUCUGGGCUGCACGCAUGCUACACUGAUAUUGCCAAUAUGUCAUUCUUAUCCGAAAUGGAUUGGGUAAUCAAGUAAUGAAAUUUCAUGCUUGGAAUCGGUAAUUGCAAUUUUAUCGUGAACGAGGAAUUCCUAGUAAGCACUAGUCAUCAGCUAAUGUUGAUUAUGUCCCUGCCCUUUGUACACACCGCCCGUCGCUACUACUGAUUGGGUGUUCAAGUGAGGUGCUUAGACCCUUGUUGCAUGGUUCAUUAUUGUGCUCCGAAAGGAAAAAGUUUCAAGCUUGAGUGUCUAGAGGAAGUAAAAGUCGUAACA
rnacentral:rRNA from 1 species